ACUCUAUGGCGUUUCCACCCCGUGGUGCGCGUAGCGCGUAGUUUGCCUCCAUUUUGUCUUCUGAUUGAUUGGGCUGAGAUCUUUGAUGCCGAUUCAAGUUUUCGUCUAAAUUUUGUUGAUAUACAGUGAUGAAUGGCCAAUUCUCUUAAGUUUAAAUGAAGUUUUAACAAUUAACUUGUUAUAUUUAUCAUAAGCUAUGGUAAAUAUGUCUAGAUACGGGGAUUGCAAAGUUUAUGUUGGUGACCUGGGCAAUAAUGCAAGCAAACCAGAGCUUGAAGAUGCCUUCUCAUACUACGGUCCUUUGAGAAAUGUUUGGGUGGCGAGAAAUCCACCCGGCUUUGCGUUUGUGGAGUUUGAAGACCCUCGCGACGCUGAAGAUGCUAUUCGUGGGCUAGACGGAAGGACAAUAUGUGGACGUCGCGCGCGCGUUGAAAUGUCCAAUGGAAGCCGUGGCUAUGGAGGAAGAGGGCCGCCUCCGCGCUCUCGUCUGCCUCCGCGGCCCUAUGACGACCGCUGCUAUGACUGCGGGGAUAGAGGACACUAUGCUCGUGACUGCACAAGACGCCGCCGGCGCAGGUUAUCAUUGGCCUGUGCGCCGAGAACGAACUCGUCAGUGUCUGCACUUCUUAUUGUCUGCGCUACGUAGCUUUCACUUCGCGGCGUGUACACCGAUAUUGUUGGCCGCUUCGGUAACUUCGCUCUUCGCGAACGACAUGCCUACGUGCACACUUCACUAGUCGAGAACUACAUUGAACAAAAAUGUUCAAUCGGCGCGUCGCACAUCUAAUGUAAUCACUGCGUGCACUCACCGCUCGAGGUCCCGCCGCCGCUCCCGCUCCCGCUCGCCGCGCUCGGGCUCGCGCUCCCGCAGCCGCUCCCGUUCCCGCUCCCGCUCCAAGGGGAGAUCCAUGUCGCGCUCAAGAUCACGUUCACCAUCCAAAGAUUCUAAAAAGUCCAACUAGGCUGAACUAGCCCAUUUCAAGUUACUAUACAUGUUAACUUUAAUGACUGCAAGAUAUGUAUUACAGCCUUGAACAAGAAUAUUUUAAGUACAUUGAUAUUCAUUUUAAGAAAUAUCAUUCCUGUCUACAUAAAGUUAGGCGAUAACAUUUAAAUACAAUAGAAGAAUUUGUUGAU